GCCGUAUCUUGUGGUGGGGACUUUCACCGGUCUCUCCGGUUUGCUUCCCACAUGGAGUCAAACACUCGUUCGUGGUAUUGGCCAAACAUCCCAAUACAGGACCCUCCUCAAAGAAGAGUCUAAAGACUCAGGGAGCGGUGGCGCCAGUGGUUAGGGCACUGCGCGACCCGGUUUCGAUUGCCACUCACGGCCAACAUCGGUGACGAUUAUCUGAACCGGUCCUGGGCCUCUCCUGGGUCGACUCAGCCUCAACUUCCAUUCCAAGACCGGAGCAUGCUGACACCCGCUUGUGAUCCAGAGCCUCCGAGGCAAGCGUUGGCAGAUCGCAACAUGAGAUGUGUUGCGAGACUCCCCCAA